rnacentral:sRNA from 1 species
CGUCAAAAUCCGUGCCGGAAUUGCGCGUUCGUCCUCGAUCGCGUAUACUUUUUGCGUUGACGUAACACAGUGUGUUCUGCGGCGACCAACCGCAAAACCUGAUAAAAACCUCGCUCCGGCGGGGUUUUUU